UACGAAGGGGACUAGCGUUGUUCGGAAUUACUGGGCGUAAAGCGCACGUAGGCGGAUUUGUUAGUCAGGGGUGAAAUCCCGGGGCUCAACCUCGGAACUGCCUUUGAUACUGCAAGUCUCGAGUCCGAUAGAGGUGGGUGGAAUUCCUAGUGUAGAGGUGAAAUUCGUAGAUAUUAGGAAGAACACCGGUGGCGAAGGCGGCCCACUGGAUCGGUACUGACGCUGAGGUGCGAAAGCGUGGGAGCAAACAGG
rnacentral:rRNA from 1 species